AGAGUUUGAUCAUGGCUCAGGACGAACGCUGGCGGCGUGCCUAACACAUGCAAGUCGAACGCGCUCCAUUCGGUAGCAAUACUGAUGAAGAGCGAGUGGCGAACGGGUGAGUAGCACGUGAGCAACCUGCCCCGAAGACUGGGACAACACCGGGAAACCGGUGCUAAUACCGGAUAUCCCUGUCGGACCGCAUGGUCCAACAAGGAAAUGUUUUUUCGCUUCGGGAGGGGCUCGCGGCCUAUCAGCUUGUUGGUGGGGUAACGGCCUACCAAGGCAUCGACGGGUAGCUGGUCUGAGAGGACGAUCAGCCACACUGGGACUGAGACACGGCCCAGACUCCUACGGGAGGCAGCAGUGGGGAAUCUUGCGCAAUGGGCGAAAGCCUGACGCAGCAACGCCGCGUGGAGGACGAAGGCUUUCUGAGUUGUAAACUCCUUUCAGCAGGGACGAUUGUGACGGUACCUGCAGAAGAAGCACCGGCCAACUACGUGCCAGCAGCCGCGGUGAUACGUAGGGUGCAAGCGUUGUCCGGAUUUAUUGGGCGUAAAGAGCUCGUAGGCGGUUUGAUAAGUCGGGUGUGAAACCUCCAGGCUCAACCUGGAGCCGCCACUCGAUACUGUCAUGACUUGAAUUCGGUAGGGGACCACGGAAUUCCUGGUGUAGCGGUGAAAUGCGCAGAUAUCAGGAGGAACACCAGCAGCGAAGGCGGUGGUCUGGGCCGACAUUGACGCUGAGGAGCGAAAGCGUGGGGAGCGAACAGGAUUAGAUACCCCAGUAGUCC
rnacentral:rRNA from 1 species